CAAAAUAAUAUCAAGAAAAAAACACAAUUAUGAAUAAAAGGGAUUAUGAAUAAAAAGGCUGCAUUAACAUCAUCGACAAUCAGCUUUCAUGGAUUUUUAUUUGGGUCACUUCUACUUACAGGGAUUCGUUUCUAAGAUUAGAUAUUGUCGAAAUUGAUAUUUUCUUUUUUGUUAUAUUUGCCUACUGUUUUUUGAUAUUUGUUUAUAUUCUUAUUUUGUAUGCUUUUUUGCGUGUGAUUAUUUUAGGAUUUUUGAUUUAGUUAUAUACAAUAAAUUUUAUUGUUGGAUUUUCUAUUUGUAGUUACGAAAGGGAAUGACAAAGAUUUCAGGAUGAUUGAAAGGAAGAAGAUGACGGUUAUCCUAAUUUUUGAAAACAAGCUAUUUGGGUGUUCUGUCAAUGUAAGUUGUCGACUAAUAUUGUUGUAUGGAUUGCUAGGUCAUUGGAUUUUUCCCCGAUGAUAAGCUGUUUGAAGAAUGGGUACGGGUGUUAAAACAUGAUGGAAAAAUCUUUAUUCAUCACGAAAAAGAAUUUUCUUCAAUUGUUCACUAAACUCGAACUGUGUUCCACCAUCUCUGACAAUGUUGACUGAUGUCAUUUGAUGUUGGAACGGGAUUCAGGGUGGUGUUUGAGCAGAAAUACCUUCACCUUUUUUUGCUGGAAUUAAGGAUAAUAUGGAGUUACCCAUCUCAGAAGUGGAUUCACAAGUUUUUUAUCUGAAAUUGAUGACGGGUUGUUCUGCAAUGCGGAUGUUGAUGCUUAUGCCUCUUUUGGUGUUCACGACCUUCAAGCUGGCAAGCAGAGUUACAAAUUCAGGAGUUGCUAAUGCUGAGAAUUUGGACUUCCGUAUAAAACCAGAUUUCAAAACCUUGCUGUAAGGAUUUUCAUUUUGGCUGGUUACAGUGAUUCCUACAUAAUGGAUCUGGUGAUCUAAUAAAAGUUCUAACCACGUGAAGAAAUUAAAGGAAAGUUGAUGAUACUCCUUAAGUAUUGGUGCAACAUGUUCAAGUUUUCUAUUUAUAAGAUUUCAUAUUUCAGUUAUCCUUAUAUUGCAUUUUCUAAGUCGUUUGAGUUGUGCAAUACUUUUGAGGUGGCAACACUCUUUAUAAAUGUAUUCUGUAAAA